rnacentral:rRNA from 1 species
UACGUAGGUGGCAAGCGUUGUCCGGAUUUACUGGGUGUAAAGGGCGUGCAGCCGGGAGGGCAAGUCAGAUGUGAAAUGAAGGGGCUUAACCCCUGAACUGCAUUUGAAACUGCUUUUCUUGGGUACCGGAGGGGCAUCGGAAUUCCUAGUGUAGCGGUGAAAUGCGUAGAUAUUAGGAGGAACACCAGUGGCGAAGGCGGAUUGCUGGACGGCAACCGACGGUGAGGCGCGAAAGUGUGGGGAGCAAACA